rnacentral:misc_RNA from 1 species
GAUGAAGAACGUAGCGAAAUGCGAUAAGUAGUGUGAAUUGCAGAAUUCAGUGAAUCAUCGAAUUUUUGAACGCACAUUGCGCCCUUUGGUAUUCCUUAGGGCAUGCCUGUUCGAGCGUCAUUUAAACCUUCAAGCUAAGCUUGGUGUUGGGUGACUGUCCGCUUCACGGCGGACUCGCCUCAAAAUUAUUGGCGGCCGGUACAUUGGCUUCGAGCGCAGCAGAAACGCGAACUCGGGCCCGUCGUAUUGGCUCCCAGAAGCUAUCUUCACAAUUUUGACCUCGGAUCAGGUAGGGAUACCCGCUGAACUUAAGCAUAUCAAUAAGCGGAGGA